rnacentral:misc_RNA from 1 species
GCGACAACGCAGUGCCA